rnacentral:misc_RNA from 1 species
GGAAGAUGCUACGAGUGAGAGUACAAUAUGUUAAUAAGACGUAAAAAGAAAUGAGGAAAAAAAAACUUUUGUUCCACUGUGCAAUUGGCAGCUAAGAUCUUUCUCAUCAAUGAAACAAGGAGAAUAUCAACUCAACACAGGAAACAAACUAACCUUUAUUGCAAAACAAGCAAAAGACUCUGCUGCUUUGUGACCAUUCAGUAGCAGUUUGCUUUUGAGGUAGCUGAAUCAAACUUUUGGGACAGAUCGCAGAAGGCUUCAAAGGAU